GUAGUUUGGGUGCUUACGUGGCGUUCUGUGUGCCGUUGGAUUGAUAAGAUUCGUCGCUUAAAGAUUCAUCCUUUUUUCCUGCUCUUUGACCCGUUAAAUGUUUUUGGCUCUGGUAUAAAACGACAUCGUUUAUGCAACACGAAUCCGAUAGGCAAGUCGUUGCCUAUGUUUAUACCCUCAAUCAUGUCUGAAAAGUCUUUGACUUCAAUUUUUUGUUGGUUCAUCCAAAUCAUGUCACUUUUUCCAUUUUUUUUUUCCUGAAAUGUAAACGACUCUUCAAAACUGAGCCUUUGAUCGCUACUUCUGUUCAUCAUCUACUUUCCUCUGCCCAGAAUAAGCCAACCAUGUCUCAUCUACCUUCUUUGCCUCUUUCCAUUUCUAAAUUAACUGCUAUACUAAUGCUACUACUGUUACCAGUAGCCUUGUCAAGUUUAACAAACGAAGUUAUAGAUGUUGUGGUUAAUCGUUUGGAUUCUAAACGGUCCUCCCCAUUAAUUCAAGAAUCAGCAGCUAAAGGUGUUUUACAAAGAUUGCUUCCUUCCCACUUACACAGCUUUGAAUUCAAGAUUGUCUCCAAGGAUGUUUGUGGUGGUCACAGUUGCUUUCUGAUAAACAAUUACAACCAAUUGAGCCACAGUGGGCCUGAGAUUAUAAUUAAAGGCACCACUGCUGUAGAACUUGCAUCUGGGCUUCAUUGGUACAUAAAGUAUUGGUGUGGUGGUCAUAUUUCAUGGGAUAAGACUGGUGGCAUUCAGAUAAAUACAAUUCCAAAGCCAGGAUCACUGCCUCUUGUAAAGGAUGAGAGUGUAAUGAUUCAGCGGCCAGUCCCAUGGAACUAUUACCAAAAUGUUGUUACAUCCAGUUAUUCAUAUGUUUGGUGGAAUUGGGAAAGAUGGGAGAAAGAGAUAGAUUGGAUGGCUCUUCAAGGAAUUAAUUUGCCUUUGGCAUUCACAGGACAGGAAGCCAUUUGGCAAAAAGUUUUCCUGAAUUUUAAUGUCAGUUCAGAAGAUUUGAAUGAUUUCUUUGGUGGACCUGCUUUCCUUGCUUGGGCUCGUAUGGGGAAUUUGCAUGCAUGGGGUGGGCCUUUGUCACAAAAUUGGUUGGAUCAACAAUUAAGUUUGCAAAAACAGAUACUCUCUCGGAUGCUGGAGUUAGGCAUGACUCCAGUGCUACCAUCAUUCUCUGGGAACGUUCCAGCAGCUUUGAAGAAAGUCUUCCCUUCGGCAAAUAUAACUAGACUUGGGGACUGGAACACUGUAAAUAAAGAUCCUCGUUGGUGCUGUACUUACCUUCUUGAUCCUUCUGAUCCCUUGUUUGUUGAAAUUGGGGAGGCAUUUAUAAGGCAACAAAUUAAAGGUGUGCUUUAUGCUUGUUUGAUGUGACAUGGAUUCUUUUGAAUUAUUAUAUCAAGAAAAUUCAUUACAGCUCUAGGUUAUCAAAUAGUUGACCAAAAUAAUUAGUCUUGCAUUAACAAACUGGUAAAUUUUAGUUAAAAGUAAAGUAACACAAAAGACUGGAAACGUAUGCAUUAACUACCAAUGUAUCAUGUGAUUUGCCAAAAAAAAAAAAGAACUGGCUUGAAGAUUUGGAAUAGAACUUUUGAACUUUGGCAUCAUACUAGGAAUCUAACCAACAGAAUCUUGGAGGUAUGUAAAUGGACUCUGUACAUUAAUACAAGCAUGCAUUAACAUGCAUAGAUGUAGAAUUGUGUAGUUCAUCCUAUUAGUUUAGCUCAGCUUGUUCAAAUGAAACAUCUUCAAAAUUAAGUGGUGUGGUAGGACAGCCAGGAGCAGUUGAAUAAUCUCCUGGAAUUGAUAUAGGAUAUAAUAAGAAAGGCAUCUUUGUUUUAAAUAUGCAAAUUAAUGGCAUAAAGGAUUAGAAAUUUGUUGGCGUGGUUAGGGUUUGGUAAAUAGUUGAUUUGGAAUGAUAUUAAAACUUGGAAACAAGGUCAUGGGUCUUGGAGCCUGCUUCUGAGUCUAUGAACACCUUUAUUAGUACCCACAAACAGUAAUCAGGAUUCAGGAGGUAAUUUAUACUUCAUUUGUGGCUAGUAUAUUGCCGAUAUGGUUCAAGCUUGUAAAACAGUGGAAGCGAGUUUUUUCUAGUUAGAAACUUUAAAAUCAGACUUGACGUUCAAUGUUGUUUGAAAUCACUUUAAGAAAUCAAAGAAAAGGUAAAAGAUUCUAAGUUUCAUACCUAGAAUUUCAUAUGCAUCACAAAUGAUUCCCUUCAAUAUCAUUCAAAAAUAGAAGUUCAGACAGUUCCAUGGUUAGUUACCUAUUCAUUUUUUGAUAAAGGCAGGCAGUGAAUUUUUAAAUUUGACAAAAUGAAGCUCUGCAUUUGAAAGAGUGAUUAAAUUUCAAUGAUGGACUUUUCUCAGUGUUCUUGGAGUUUUUGGUUCGCUUCUGUGUUAAAGCUAUGCAAGAAAGAUGUGUUUCAUUUAGUUUACAUGCAUAUUAAUAUUUCUAUUUUUUAUUCAUUAAUCUAUUUAUUGCCUUUUUCUUAUUUUAAUUUUGUGGUAUUUCAGAAUAUGGAGAUGUGACAGACAUCUACAACUGUGAUACAUUCAAUGAGAAUACCCCACCUACAAAUGAUUCAGAAUACAUCUCCUCACUUGGUGAAGCAGUAUAUAAAGCAAUGUCCAAAGGUGAUGAGGAUGCUGUGUGGCUAAUGCAAGUAUGCUGCUCACUUCUUCCACAACCCUUCCUUGCUAGUCCUCCUCAAUUUAUUAAUAUAAAUUUAUUUAUGCACGAGGCUAUAUGGUAACAUUCAUUUAUCUCUCUCACUACAGAAGAUUAAUUCUGUUAAACUGGAAGUUUUCUGCAUAUAACGUGUGCUGUCCCCAUCUUUUCUCUUUCGUUGCUCUGAAAUAAAUGAAUUCUAGUUGACUGUUCUUCCGAUGUGCAGGGUUGGCUCUUCGUUUCUGACUCUUCUUUCUGGAAGCCACCUCAAAUGAAGGUAUGCGUUUGUAUGAGGCAUUGAUGAAAUUUAAUUAGCGUAGGAUCCUCUUAAUGGUGACAGGCAUGACUCAAGCUCUAUCAAUUUUAUACAUAACAUUUCAAACACAAAAGGAAUUGGGGCUCACUUUGUCUUAAAAGAAACUGCUCAUCUAUUUGUUUCCAUUUGGCUAUUGACUGGUGCUUUUUGUUUUCAUGCUAAUGCCAGUUAUGUUUGGAAAUUUUUAUUUUUUAAUCUUAAACUAGGUGGUAUUUGCAGGCACUUCUACACUCUGUUCCAUUUGGGAAAAUGAUAGUUCUAGAUCUGUUUGCUGAUGUCAAGCCGAUAUGGGGAAAUUCCUCCCAGUUUUAUGGAACUCCUUAUGUCUGGUAGUUAGCUAUUUCUUACACCAUUAGCAAGACGCUUAAUCCUCAAGAUAUCUACCUUAACUAGUCAUAUUUUUUCUCAUUUACUCUUAAUUUUUCUGAACUUGGUAUUCAAAUUCAGUGGUAAAGGUAUUCACUAUUGGUUAACUUUGACAUAAAUCAGGUGUAUGUUGCAUAAUUUUGGUGGAAAUAUUGAAAUGUACGGCAUAUUGGAUGCAAUAUCUUCAGGUCCAAUUGAUGCUGGUGUCAGUGAAAAUUCAACUAUGGUUGGUGUUGGCUUGUGCAUGGAAGGAAUAGAGCAUAAUCCUGUUGUUUAUGAGCUAAUGUCUGAAAUGGCAUUUCGCAGUGAAAAAGUUCAAGUUCUGGAAUGGCUGAAGACCUAUUCUCGUAGACGAUAUGGUAAAGCAGUUAACCAGGUUGAGGCAGCUUGGGAGAUCCUUUACCACACAAUUUACAAUUGUACAGAUGGAAUCGCUGACCACAACACAGAUUUCAUAGUUAAAUUUCCAGACUGGGAUCCAUCUCUUAACUCUGGAUCUGACAGAAUGAAAGAAGACAAGAUGCACAUCUUUCUCUCCAUACCCAGAAGGAAAAGAUUCUUAUUUCAACAGCCAAGUUCCAAGUUGCCCCAGGCACAUAUAUGGUAUUCUACUCAGGAGGUGGUCAAUGCAUUGCAAUUAUUCCUUCAUGCUGGAAAUGAUCUUAAUGGAAGCCUCACUUACAGAUAUGACUUGGUUGACCUAACACGGCAAGUUCUGUCAAAGCUAGCAAAUCAAGUAUACAUUGAUGCUAUAAUUGCUUUUCAGAAGAAAGAUGCUGAUGCAUUGAAGCUUCAGAGCCAGAAAUUUUUACAACUCAUCGAUGACAUUGAUGUACUUCUUGCUUCUGAUGAUAAUUUUCUACUUGGAACAUGGCUCAAAAGUGCAAAAGAGCUGGGAGUAAAUCCUAUUGAGAUGAGGCAGUAUGAAUGGAAUGCAAGAACACAAGUGACAAUGUGGUUCGACACGACAAAAACCAAUCAGAGCCAACUCCAUGAUUAUGCUAACAAAUUUUGGAGUGGGCUACUAAAAGACUAUUAUCUUCCUCGAGCUUCAACCUAUUUUGAUCAUCUGUUAAAGAGCUUGAAAGAAAAUGAAAACUUCAAGAUUGUGGAAUGGAGGGAAGAAUGGAUAGCAUUCUCAAACAGAUGGCAAGCAAGCACAGAGCUUUAUCCAGUGACGGCCAGAGGAGAUGCUCUUGCUAUUUCUAAAGCAUUGUAUAAAAGAUAUUUUGGUUAACAAUAUGACUGGUUCAUAUAUUUAUGACAAUAAUAAGGUGGGUUCAUGCUAAAUGUUUUUGAAGGUGUAAUUAUCUCUGAGCGGGUGCCAGAGUUCAUAUCUCACAGAUUAAAAUCCUUCUCCAUGUUAACACGUUUUCCAUUUGUAUUUUUAUUUUUUAAUGAUUAUAAAAACCCUUAAAAUUCUGGGAUUUGCAAAUGUAAUACUAGUUUGGUGGAGC
rnacentral:misc_RNA from 1 species